rnacentral:rRNA from 1 species
AGUGAACGCUGGCGGUAGGCCUAACACAUGCAAGUCGAACGGCAGCACAGGAGAGCUUGCUCUCUAGGUGGCGAGUGGCGGACGGGUGAGGAAUACAUCGGAAUCUGCCCAGUCGUGGGGGAUAACGUAGGGAAACUUACGCUAAUACCGCAUACGACCUUCGGGUGAAAGAGGGGGAUCGCAAGACCUCUCGCGAUUGGAUGAGCCGAUGUCGGAUUAGCUAGUUAGCGGGGUAAUGGCCCACCAAGGCGACGAUCCGUAGCUGGUCUGAGAGGAUGAUCAGCCACACUGGAACUGAGACACGGUCCAGACUCCUACGGGAGGCAGCAGUGGGGAAUAUUGGACAAUGGGCGCAAGCCUGAUCCAGCCAUACCGCGUGGGUGAAGAAGGCCUUCGGGUUGUAAAGCCCUUUUGUUGGGAAAGAAAUCUCUCAGGCUAAUACCCUGGGAGGAUGACGGUACCCAAAGAAUAAGCACCGGCUAACUUCGUG